rnacentral:rRNA from 1 species
UACGUAGGGAGCAAGCGUUGUCCGGAAUCAUUGGGCGUAAAGCGCGCGUAGGUGGCUUCGUAAGUCCGUUGUGAAAGUCAAAGGCUCAACCUUUGAAAGCCGAUGGAUACUGCGGAGCUAGAGUACGGAAGAGGCGAGUGGAAUUCCUGGUGUAGCGGUGGAAUGCGCAGAUAUCAGGAGGAACACCAAUAGCGAAGGCAGCUCGCUGGGACGUUACUGACACUGAGGCGCGAAAGCGUGGGGAGCGAACA